GACGAACGCUGGCGGCGUGCCUAAUACAUGCAAGUUGAGCGCUGAAGGUUGGUACUUGUACCAACUGGAUGAGCAGCGAACGGGUGAGUAACGCGUGGGGAAUCUGCCUUUGAGCGGGGGACAACAUUUGGAAACGAAUGCUAAUACCGCAUAAAAACUUUAAACACAAGUUUUAAGUUUGAAAGAUGCAAUUGCAUCACUCAAAGAUGAUCCCGCGUUGUAUUAGCUAGUUGGUGAGGUAAAGGCUCACCAAGGCGAUGAUACAUAGCCGACCUGAGAGGUUGUCCGGCCACAUUGGACUGAGACACGGCCCAAACUCCUACGGGAGGCAGCAGUAGGGAAUCUUCGGCAAUGGACGAAAGUCUGACCGAGCAACGCCGCGUGAGUGAAGAAGGUUUUCGGAUCGUAAAACUCUGUUGGUAGAGAAGAACGUUGGUGAGAGUGGAAAGCUCAUCAAGUGACGGUAACUACCCAGAAAGGGACGGCUAACUACGUG
rnacentral:rRNA from 1 species